ACUUAAGAAGCUUAAAGUUUUGAGCGUUACAUUGAAGCUGUAGAGGUGGCAAGUUUGUCCUUAGGUG